rnacentral:rRNA from 1 species
UACGAAGGGUGCUAGCGUUGUUCGGAAUCACUGGGCGUAAAGCGCGCGUAGGCGGCUUUCCAAGUCAGGGGUGAAAUCCUUGGGCUCAACCCAAGAAUUGCCUUUGAAACUGGGAGGCUGGAGUAUUGGAGGGGAUAGCGGAAUUGCUAAUGUAGAGGUGAAAUUCGUAGAUAUUAGCAGGAACACCGGUGGCGAAGGCGGCUAUCUGGCCAAUUACUGACGCUGAGGCGCGAAAGCACGGGGAUCAAACAGG